AGAAUCAACGCUGGCGGCGUGCCUAACACAUGCAAGUCGAACGAGAAGUGGAGCAAUCCAUGAGUAAAGUGGCGCACGGGUGAGUAACACGUGACUAACCUACCCUUGAGUGGGGAUAACCUAGGGAACCUGGGCUAAUACCGCAUAAUACCUUCGGGUCAAAGGAGCAAUUCGCUUAAGGAGGGGUCGCGGCCGAUUAGUUAGUUGGCGGGUAAUGGCCCACCAAGACUAUGAUCGGUAU
rnacentral:rRNA from 1 species